ACAGUUAAAUUACAGGAAUACCACCAGAAUCAAAACCCACAAGAUCAGUUAGAAAAUGGAAAAUACAGAAGAAUGUCACUGAAAUCACUAAGUAUCAGAGCUUAGAGCCCGUCCUGAUAAAAGAUAUUUUAGCCAAAGCUUCACCUGGUGUUUUUAAAGUGUGUGGCUUUGUUAUUGGAGUUGAUCCUCCUGUCGACCCUGUUGAAGAGUUUUUACACUUGUACUGUCCAGUAUGCAAUUACAUAUCAGAAGAUAUCAAGUGUAAUGUUGGCUAUUUUCGAGAAGAAAAUGGAGUUCGUUUGUACUCUUGUCCCCAGUGUGCAAACGUGCCUUCCACAUCAUCUAGUGCUGUCAAGCCUCUUCCUCAGCUGGAAUAUACCUUUCUAUUAAAACUACAACUCAGGGAUAAAUCUGGUCAACUAGAAGCAUUUUUGUGGGAGAAACAUGCUGAGAAUUUCUUCGGAGGGGUGAAACCUCGUGAAUUGCUAGAAAGUGACAUGACAUCUAUUUCUAAAAUCCGGCAAUACCUUCAGAAAAUCUGCAUUCGAUCAGGUCCAAAAACUACAUCGACGAAUAAGAGUCGAACAUUCCCGCUAUUGGAGUGUAUUAUUGUGUCUUAUGAAUGUAACUCAAAUAUAAGACAUGCCAUUCAACAUACAGCUCUCAAAUUAGAGCUUCUAGAGUAGAGUGUUAUAUUUUUAACAGAAUAAUGGAGAUAUACUGUUUCAUGAAACUUUGUAAUUUAUCUCAAACGAGAACAUUCUGAGGUAGUUCAUUAUUUAUAUACCAUUUGUUGAAGAUUUAGUUGAUUUUAAGUAAGUAAUGUUACUGUAUUGUCAAGAGAUUAUACUAAAUCCUGUAAAAAACGUUUUGUAAAAACAUGUUAUAUAGCCUAGAACAUACAUUACUGGUCUGAAAAAAUAUGACACUUAUAAGAAACAUACAUUGUUACCCUUAAGGUAUUUGACUCUUGACAGGAAACAUACAUUGCUAUCCUAAGAUCUUUGACUCUUUAACAGAAAACAUGCAUUGUUAUCCUAAGAUACUUGACUCUUAACAGGAAGGAUACACUGUUACACUUAAGGUUUUUGACUCUUGACAGGAACAUUAUCCUAAGAUAUUUGGCUCUUGAUAAGAAACGUACAUUGUCACUCUUAAGAUACUUGACUCUUUAACAGAAAACAUGCAUUGGUAUCCUAAGAUACUUGACUAUUAACAGUAAGGAUACAUUGUUACACUUAAUAUAUUUGACACUUGACAGGAAACAUGCAUUGUUACACUUAAUAUAUUUGACACUUGACAGGAAACAUGCAUUGUUACACUUAAUAUAUUUGACACUUGACAGGAA